AGAUUGAACGCUGGCGGAAUGCUUUACACAUGCAAGUCGAGCGGCAGCGCGGGGGCAACCCUGGCGGCGAGCGGCGAACGGGUGAGUAAUACAUCGGAACAUGUCCAGUUGUGGGGGAUAGCCCGGNGAAAGCCGGAUUAAAUACCGCAUGAGCUCGAGAGAGGAAAGCGGGGGACCGUAAGGCCUCGCGCGACUGGGUUGGCCGAUGUCCGAUUAGCUAGUUGGUGGGGUAAA
rnacentral:rRNA from 1 species